rnacentral:rRNA from 1 species
GAUGAACGCUAGCGGGAGGCCUAACACAUGCAAGCCGAGCGGUAUUUGUUCUUCGCAUCAGUGAGAGCGGCGCACGGGUGCAGAACACGUGAGCAACCUGCCUUUAUCUGGGGGAUAGCCUUUCGAAAGGAAGAUAAAUCCCCCAUAAUAGAUUGAGUGGUAUCACUUGAUAUUGAAAACUCCGGUGGAUAGAGAUGGGCACGCGCAAGAUGUGAUAGUUGGUGAGGUAACGGCUCACCAAGUCAAUGAUCUUUAGGGGGCAUGAGAGGGUGAUCCCCCACACUGGUACUGGGACACGGACCAGACGCCUGCGGGAGGCAGCAGUGAGGAAGAUUGGACCAAGGGUUAGCGCCUGAUCCAGCCAGCCCGCGUGAAGGACGACGGCCCUAUGGGUUGUAAUCUUCUUUUGUAUAAGGAUAACCCUACUCUCGUGAGAGUAGCUGAAGGUACUAGACGAAUAAGCACCGGCUAACUCCGUG